GAUUCACAAUCCACUGCCUUGAUCCACUUGGCUACAUCCGCC
rnacentral:tRNA from 2 species